rnacentral:rRNA from 1 species
CCUACGGGAGGCAGCAGUGAGGACUAUUGGUCAAUGGGCGGGAGCCUGAACCAGCCAAGCCGCGUGAGGGAAGAAGGUACAGCGUAUCGUAAACCUAUUUUGUCAGGGAACAAAGGCGGGGACUAGUCCCCGGAUGAGGGUACCUGAAGAAAAAGCAUCGGCUAACUCCGUGCCAGCAGCCGCGGUAAUACGGAGGAUGCGAGCGUUAUCCGGAUUUAUGGGGUUGAAAGGGUGCGCAGGCGGCCUGUUACGUCAGCGGUAAAAGCCCGAGGCUCAACCCCGGCGAGCCGUUGAAAAUGGCGGGCUGGAGUUGGAGAGCAGUACGCGGAAUGCGCGGUGUAGCGGUGAAAUGCUGAGAUAUCGCGCAGAACCCCGAUUGCGAAGGCAGCGUACCGGCUCCACACUGACGCUGAGGCACGAAAGCGUGGGUAUCGAACAGGAUUAGAUACCCCAGUAGUC